rnacentral:lncRNA from 1 species
CAGAAACUUGAGUGCAGGUUAUUUCAUUUCAUCCUCUAAAAAAAAAACAAAAAACAAAAAACUAUCAACUGCUAGACUGGGUGUGAUCCUCAUUUUAUGCAAGCUCAGAGCAGUAAAGGGAACUGUCCAAGGUCAUGGGGCUGGUAAGAAGCUGAAUUGGAACCUGACACCACGCCUGCCUGCACCUAAAAGGUUUUCACCACUCUGCAGAAUGUUAUAUUCAUACCCAGGCACGCUUUUCUCUUUCUUCAAGGGGCGUAUGUGCCAUCCCUCUGCCUUCUGGAUGCAUCUUCCCCUUCCUAGGUGGCUCUUUCUCAUUCUUUCCUAAGGCCUUUCUUCCUCUGAGAGCAGGGGCCUGCUAUCUCCUCUCCAGAUCUGUCACAGGCCAGCCUUCUGCACUUGCUGCAAGCUGAUGCCCAGCCAGCUCUGCCUCUCCUCUCUGCCGAUGCUCCUGACGCAGACAACUGCAGUGACUACGCCCUUCCUCAGCCCCCACACUCCUCAAAAAGUGCUUUUCUGGGUUUCCACGACUGCCUCCCUUCCUCCCCAAAACGAUUCUCCAUCCGAGGAAUAUUUGAAACAGCUGCUGCCCGUCCUAAUGUGCCAGGGCUGAGAUUGCUGCUGGAACUUCCCAGGGCUGCUGCAGUAACCCCGCCCCACUCCUGGGAAGAAGAUUCUAGAGGAAAAUAUAGGUAAAGGCUGUCCUUGCAUUGUGAAUGUCCAGCCCAGGGGAAUACUUGGCACAUGGUAAAUGCUCGAAUAUAUUGUAUGAAUGAAUGAAGAUAAUGAAUGAAUGAAUGAAUGAAUGAAUGAAUGAAUGAAGAUAAAAAGGGAAUAGGAUCCAGUUCCUGUGUCUUCUGAAUCUGGAAUGUGGCAUGACCUUCUUUUCUACCCUGUUCUCCUAAAAUUGUCAUGGAUUUAUAGCAUGGUGGUAGGCUAGUGGGUAGGAAAGGGGCUGACAUCUAAGAGCCCUCUGUAUACUGAACACUGUGAGUGUUUUCAGGUAUGCCUUCUCCCUUUGCCUCCCAGUACCCUGAUAAGAAAGCAUUUGUCUUUGUUUUUACAUAGGAGGAAAUGAAAACACAGCCAUCAGGUGACUCAACCAGUUAAUACGGUGAAUAGGGAAAGAGCUGGGAUUUGAACUACAGAUAGGGUAGAAUGUCCUUAUGGGAUUUUAACUGUUGUACCAUGGUCAGACUCAACAGGUAGUAUUUAAUAUCAGAAGUUAAAAAGGACCUGGCACAUAAAUGCUCAAAUAUUACAACUCAGCUCCCCAAGGUGCAUGUAUAAGAAUUGCGCGUGCCUAGUCAUACUCACUCGGCUAAGCUAGGAGAAGGCAGUGGUCACCAGGGCUUGACCAGUAUCUGCCUCUGAACCUGAUUAGAGUUGACCCCAGCUCUGACGUUAGGAUGGUAAACACUGUAGACAUAAGUUAGGAGGUGACUGGGGCUUCACCAGUCCUUGAAAACACUGUGACACCCAGAACAGUCACAGCAAGUGGGGACAGACACUUUGUUUCGAAUAUUCAGAGACAUCUCAGGAGGUAAGUGUGGUCAUUGGUCCGUAGCCAGAGGAGGUCAGCUAAAGCGCCUCCCCCAGCCCUCAGAUAGCAUAUUCAAUAACACCACUUGACUUUAUCCUGAUCAAAACAGACAGCCAAGCCCACAGGGAAGACAGCAAACCUUAACUCAAGGACACAAAACGACCCAGCAAGGGCAACAUGAAUGCACUGGCCCUAGCAUUUGUAGUGGCUCUGUCUGGGGGGACAUGGGAGAGGCAGUCUGCCUGCACUGUCACUAGCAUUUUAUUUUAAAAUGCGGUGUGGGUGGAUGAAAUUGAAAUCUACUUGCCACCAGACAGGAUGACACUGUUGCAGGGCAUGAAUCAGGUUAUCUGAAGGUUGUGAUGGAUUAGGAAAGGCUCUCUCCUGCUGACAACAGGGUAAGUUCCUGCCAAUUCCGCAGUGAUCAGAGGAGACAGAGCAUUUUUUUUUUUUUUUGGUCUUUUCUUCUCUCUUUUCUGAGCAUGGAGGAGGGAAUGAGCAGAGGCAAAGGCAGGCCUUCAAAUUCAGUAAUCCUUGGCUGUUGCUGGCAGAGUCAUUUCCCCACUUCUUUCUUUGCCCUUGCUUCCUCCUGCUGUGGGGUGGGGGCAUGGGGGACAGAAACCGGCCCCCAUCUCAGCAGCUGCCCCUGAAUAACUGAGGAAGGGGGUGCUCUAUUCUAUCUCCAUUUCCAGGGAUGCCCCAGCUCAAGCUGCUGCUCCAACAGGACAGUCCUACACUACAGGUUUUGAUCCAGGCCAAAAGGGGUACGAUUGAUUCUGCAGUGCUCAGAUUCUGGAUGCAGUAUGAGGGGACAUCGUUCCUCUGCAGAUGUUACGGCUGCUGAAAUGAGGAAGAAGGAAAGGAAAGGAAAGGAAGAAAAGAAGGAAGAAAGAAAAGUCAGGAACCUGUUGAGGUUGUAACGACAAGGAAAUAUUCAAGAGGAAGCCUUUCAGAACCUUCAUACACUUGGUGAGAAUGUAAAUUCGUACGACCACUAUGGAGAACACUUUGGAGCUUCUUCAAAAAACUAAAAAUAGAGCUACCAUAUGGGGCGAUCCAGCAAUGCUCCCACUGGGUAGAGACCUGAAAGAAAGGAAAUCAGUAGGACAAAGAGAUAGCUGCACUCCUGUGUUUGCUGCAGCACUGUUCACUAUAGCCAAGAUUUGGAAGCAACCUAAGUGUUUACCAAUAGAUGAAUGCAUAUAGAAAAUGUGGUACAAAUACACAAUGGAGUAUUAUUCAGCCAUAAAAAAGAAUGAGAUCCUGUCAUUUGCAACAACAUAGAUGGAGCUAGGGAUCAUUAAGCUAAGUGAAAUAAGCAAGGCAAAGAAAGACAAGCAUCACAUGUUCUCACUUAUUUGUGGGAUACAAAAAUCAAAACAAUUGAAUUCAUGAACAUAAAGAGUAGAAGGAAGGUUACCAGAGGCUGGGAAGAGUAGUAGCAGGUGAGGGUGAGGUGGGGAUGGUUAAUGUUAAUGGGUACAGAAAAAAAAUAGAAUGAAUAAGACUUACUAUGUGAUAGCACGACAGGUUGACUAUAGUAAUAACUUAAUUGCACAUUUUAAAAUAACCAAAAGAAUAUAAUUGGAUUUUUUGCAACACAAAGGAUAAAUGCUUGAGGGGGUGUAAUUCUCAUUCUCCAUAUGUAAUUAUUACACAUUGCAUGCCGGCAUCAAAGCAUUUCACUUACCCAGUAAAUAUAUACACCUACUAUGUAUCCACAAAAUUAAAAAUAAAAAUUUGUUUAAAGAAUCUUUAAAAAUAAUGGCAAUGACAUAAUCAAAAUACUUCAUAAAUAAUUUAAUAUUGAUUACAUGUGGAAAUACUAUUUUUUAUAUAUUUAGUUAAAUAAAAAAAAUUCCAACUUCAAAAAAAAAAAAAGAAAUCUUUCAUUGUAGGGAAAAGUAGAAACAAAUCCUGAGGAAGACAUAAUUUUAUUGUCAUCUCUGUGGAGAUGUUCACUGAGAGUCUUGAAAAUGAGAUGCUUUCUGGGUAGAAAGAGACCAGAAGGGUGUAUGAUCCCAAGGGCUAAGAGAGUUUUGAGAUAAAAAGAAAUAAUCAGGCUGGGCACAGUGGCUCACGACUGUAAUCCCAGCACUUUGGAAGGCUGAGGCAGGCAGAUCACAAGGUCAGGAGUUCGAGACCAGCCUGACCAACACGGUGAAACCCCAUCUCUACUAAAAAUACAAAAAUUAGCUGGGUUUGGUAGUAUCCGCCUGUAAUCCCAG